GAGGGAACGCCCAGUGGCCCUGCCCUGAGUCCCAGAUACCCCACGACUCCGGGGGGUGCCUGUUCACCGACAGCGGUGCUGCCCAGGCGGACAGAGGGGCACCCUGGCUGGCUCACCAGAACAGCCUAUACUGGAGCCAGUCUGCAGCUAAUUCACACCUCCCAGAAUGCACAAGCCUCCUUGCAGCUCCUCGCUGGAAAAGCCACCAAUCUUGUGACAGCCCCAGGACACCUCGCUCCUCAACCCUGCUUUGUGUCCUAAAUGCAAGCCCAUCACACUUCUCAGCCGUUCCUACCACCAAGCUUUGUGCACAUGGGGCCCAUGGUCAGUACGUCCCGCGAUCUGCUCUUCCACUUGAUUUUAUUUGACAGAGACACAGCGAGAGAGGAAAUAUAAGCAGGGGAAGUGGAAGAGGGAGAAGCAGGCUUCCCGAGGAGCAGGGAGCCCAAUGAGGAGCUUGAUCCCAGGACUCUGGGAUCAUGACCUGAGCUGAAG